UACGUAGGUGACAAGCGUUGUCCGGAUUUACUGGGCAUAAAGAGCGCGCAGGCGGUCGUUCAAGUCGAGUGUGAAAGCCCCCGGCUCAACUGGGGAGGGUCACUCGAUACUGAUCGACUCGAAGGCAGGAGAGGGUAGUGGAAUUCCCGGUGUAGUGGUGAAAUGCGUAGAUAUCAGGAAGAACACCCGUGGCGAAGGCGGCUCUCUGGGACGGUACUGACGCUGAGACGCGAAAGCGUGGGGAGCGAACAGG
rnacentral:rRNA from 1 species